GACGAACGCUGGCGGCGUGCUUAACACAUGCAAGUCGAACGGAAAGGCCCUGCUUUUGUGGGGUGCUCGAGUGGCGAACGGGUGAGUAACACGUGAGUAACCUGCCCUUCACUUUGGGAUAACUUCAGGAAACUGCGGCUAAUACCGGAUAGGAGCUCCUGCUGCAUGGUGGGGGUUGGACAGUUUCGGCGGUUGGGGAUGGACUCGCGGCUUAUCAGCUUGUUGGUGGGGUAGUGGCUUACCAAGGCUUUGACGGGUAGCCGGCCUGAGAGGGUGACCGGCCACAUGGGGACUGAGAUACGGCCCAGACGCCGACGUGAGGCAGCAGGGGGGAAUAUUGCACAAUGGGCGGAAGCCUGAUGCAGAAACGCCGCGUGCGGGAUGACGGCCUUCGGGUUGUAAACCGCUUUCGCCUGUGACGAAGCGUGAGUGACGGUAAUGGGUAAAGAAGCCCCGGCUAACUACGUG
rnacentral:rRNA from 1 species